rnacentral:rRNA from 1 species
GACGAACGCUGGCGGCGUGCCUAAUACAUGCAAGUCGAGCGAAGCGGCGGAUGGGUGAGCAACGCGUGGGUAACCUGCCCUUAAUUCUGGGAUACCAUUUGGAAACAGAUGCUCAUACCGGAUACUACAGGAUGGACCUGCGAUGCAUUAGCUAGUUGGUAAGGUAACGGCUUACCAAGGCGAUGAUGCAUAGCCGAGUUGAGAGGCUGAUCAGCCACAUUGGGACUGAGACACGGCCCAAACUCCUACGGGAGGCAGCAGUGGGGAAUAUUGCACAAUGGGCGCAAGCCUGAUGCAGCCAUGCCGCGUGUAUGAAGAAGGCCUUCGGGUUGUAAAGUACUUGCAGCGGGGAGGCGUUACUCGCAGAAGAAGCACCGGCUAACUCCGUGCCAGCAGCCGCGGUAAUAC